rnacentral:rRNA from 1 species
UACGUAGGGGGCGGGCAUUAUCCGGAUUUACUGGGCGUAAAGCGCGUUAAGGCGGUUGGCAAAGUUGGUUGUGAAAUCUCAGGGCUCAACCCUGAAAUUGCGACCAAUACUGGUCGACUAGAGUGUGAGAGAGGAAGGUGGGGUUCCCGGUGUAGUAGUGAAAUGCGUAGAUAUCGGGAGGAACACCAGUGGCGAAGGCGGCCUUCUGGCUCAUAACUGACGCUGUAGCGCGAAAGCGUGGGGAGCGAACCGG